GUCAAUGCAGCAUAGUGGUUUGAGUGUUGGACUAUGACUCUGAAGACAGGGUUUGAUUCCCAACUCAGUCACG